GACGAACGCUGGCGGCGUGCCUAAUACAUGCAAGUCGAACGCAGUGGGGACGGGUGAGUAACACGUGGGUAACCUCCCAUCAGAGGGGAUAACACUUGGAAACAGGUGCUAAACCGAUACUGAUGGAUGGACCCGCGGUGCAUUAGCUCGUUGGUGAGGUAACGGCUCACCAAGGCCACGAUGCAUAGCCGGCCUGAGAGGGUGAACGUCCACACUGGGACUAAGACACGGCCCAGACGAAUACGGGAGGCAGCAGUAGGGAAUCUUCGGAAAUGGAAGAAAGUCUGACCGAGAAACGCCGCGGGAGUGAAGAAGGUAUGCGGAGCGUAAAGCUGUGUUGUUAGAGAAGCGGUAUCUGACCAAUGAGCCACGGCUAACGACGUGCCAGCAGCAGCGGUAAUUC
rnacentral:rRNA from 1 species